GGAAUCUUCCACAAUGGGCGCAAGCCUGAUGGAGCAACACCGCGUGAGUGAAGAAGGGUUUCGGCUCGUAAAGCUCUGUUGUUAAAGAAGAACACGUAUGAGAGUAACUGUUCAUACGUUGACGGUAUUUAACCAGAAAGUCACGGCUAACUACGUCCCAG
rnacentral:rRNA from 1 species